UACGGAGGUGGCAGGCGUUACUCGGAUUGAUUGGGUGUAAAGGGCAUGUAGGUGGCGUUGUAAGUCGAAUGUGAAAUCCCUUGGCUCAACCAGGGAACUGCAUUCGAAACUGCUCCGCUUGAGCGUCAGAGAGGAAGAUGGAAUUCACGGUGUAACAGUGAAAUGUGUAGAUAUCGUGAGGAACACCAGUGGCGAAGGCGAUCUUCUGGCUGACUGCUGACACUGAAAUGCGAGAGCUAGGGGAG
rnacentral:rRNA from 1 species